rnacentral:rRNA from 1 species
AUUGAACGCUGUCGGCCGGCUUAACACAUGCAAGUCGCGCGAGCGGCGGACGGGUGAGUCAUGUCUGGGAAACUGCCUGAUGGAGGGGGAUAACUACUGGAAACGGUAGCUAAUACCGCAUACCAUAAGCGGUGCCCAGAUGGGAUUAGCUCGUAUGUGGGGUAAUGGCUCACCGAGGCGACGAUCCCUAGCUGGUCUGAGAGGAUGACCAGCCACACUGGAACUGAGACACGGUCCAGACUCCUACGGUAGGCAGCAGUGGGGAAUAUUGCACAAUGGGCGCAAGCCUGAUGCAGCCAUGCCGCGUGUGUGAAGAAGGCCUUCGGGUUGUAAAGCACUUGCAGCGAGGAGGCGUUACUCGCAGAAGAAGCACCGGCUAACUCCGUGCCAGCAGCCGCGGUAAUAC